rnacentral:rRNA from 1 species
UGGAAAUUCUUUUUUAAUAUUAUAGAUUUGUUAUAUUAUUAAAAAUUUUCUAGGGUAGAAUACUAUAUAUUUUAAAGGACUAUAAUUAAACUGAGGAAUUACUCCGGAGUUAACAGAAAAUCAUACUAGAUCUAGUUCUUAUAGUAUAGUAAGUUUUACAUCGAUGUUGUAUUUAAAUAUAUUAAGGGGGAGAAGAUUUAAUUUUUAAGACUGUUCUUCUUUUAAUUAAUUUAACGUGAUAUUAGUUUAAUUCA